GGGGACACUUCCCGUUCGUCCGUGUGCGUGCCGCCGUGUGCACCGCUGGGGACGGGUCUGCCGCUGCAGCCGGCCAGGACAGACAGUGCGCACUUCUCUCCUCAAACGGCGGCAUGGCAUGUUUCCCGGCCCUUCCCUGCCUCUCUUCUUAUUCUAGGAUUCUGGGGCGCCAGGUCUCGCAUGUGUUGGUCUGUGAGUGGAAGCUUCAGUAAUGGUGGAACAGGAGAAAACCAGAAGAGGAGAACCAAGAGUCCCAGGAGACGCUAUCAUGUGAAACCUCAAGGUCCGAAGUGCCUAGAACAGUGUCCUGUAUAUGGGAGACAUUCAAGACACAUUUACUGAAUGAAUAAAUGAAUGAAUGGCUCUCAAGUCAAGCUGGCUGCCCCUGCCAUCUACUAGCAAUGUGAUGCUUCCCAGGCCUUGCCUCCAGCGCAACGGAUGCAUUUCAGGGGCAGCAGCUGCACUUGUCUGAGCCCCCUUUGCAGAUGCAGCCCCGGGCACACUUGGCACAGCCCGGGGGGCAGCAAGGACAGCAGCCUGAAAAGGUCACAGGACAGACAGAUGCAAAUUCCUCCUAGAAGAGAAGACAGAGCCACAAGCGUUAAGGACUGAGAUCGAACGAGGACACAAGGUGUGCUGCAGAUCAUCCCGGUGGCAAGGGACCCUCUAGACGUAUGAGCCCCACCCCCUGGAGCAGCCUGGAGCCAUCGGUUCUAUUAUGCUGGUUUAUACAUUGACCUCUCUCUCUAGACUGCAUGCUUCUCAAAAACGAAGUCAGUCCGUAUUAAUCUCAGCAUCCCUGUUGCCAGGCACACUGAGCGCUGGCACACAAGAUCCAAAAAUGUGAAGCGUGCGGUGUGCGGAGGCAGUGGAGAACCAGAUGUGCGCAUCCUGCGGGCCAACCACGACGGCAUCCAAAAUGCAGGGGCGCCUGGGUGGCUCAGUCGGUUGGGCGGCCGACUUUGGCUCAGGUCAUGAUCUCGCAGUCCGUAAGUUCGAGCCC